ensembl:lncRNA
AUUAAAACUCAUGAGCAUAAUUCAUGGAGUCUUAAUGAAUCAGACAAACCUGUCAGUGACCAAAUGAAGUCUCAUUCACAGCCUUACAGACUACAGUAUACUGAUCAUCAGAUGCAUGAUUUGUCACUGUAGUUUCCAGUAUUUUCCCUUGUUAGAUAUGUCAGUUAUGAGCAUAUUAAGUGUUUUUUUAAAAUGAUUUUUAUCUUCAGAAAGCCCAAAUAUUUGGUAUUACUUGUGUUCUCAUUUGUCUUGGUAAUUAAGGUGUUUAAGAGCACCAUUGUCUUAAAUGCAUCAUCGACUACUUGUUACGUGUUUAUGAUUUGUUUUGUGAGCUCCAAGUCAUAAAGAUCUGCAUUGUCAUUGUGUGAAGAAGUUAUACAACUGACACUUUAUGUUGUGCUAAAAAGUCAAUAAAAACUAUAAAGAGAAUGUACAGUGAUACCCUGCUGAUUUUGUAAGUUUGCCCACUUACAAAGAAAUGAAGGGUCUGUCAUUUUUAUGGUAGGUUUAUUUUAACAGAUAGAGAGAGAAUACCAACCAAAAAAUCCAGAAAAUACACAUGAUAUAAAGGUUAGAAAUUGAUUUGCAUUUCAGUGAGUGAAAUAAGUAUUUUAUCCCCAAGCAAAACAUGACUUGACAACAAACUUUGUUGGCAAGCACAGAGGUAAGACGUUUUUUUGUAGUAGGUCACCAGGUUUGCACACAUCUCAGGAGGGAUUUUGAUCCACUCCUCUUUACAGAUCCUCUAUAAAUUCUUAAAGGGGUCAUAUGAUAUUACAUGCACUUUUAUAAGUUGUUUGAACUGAAAUGUGUGUUGGCAGUGUGUGUACACAACCACCUUAAAAUUAUAAAAAUCCACCCAGUGUGUUUUUUUAAUCUGUUCAACUCUUUAAUCCUGUGUGACGUCACAAAAACAGGCCCCUCCCACGAUAGUUUGUUUGACAGUAGCGUUUCAGCACAGACUGGACUGGCGUCUUACCUUAGACCCGCCCUGAGUGAGCUGUCAUCAGUCCACCAAUGUUUCACCGCAGGAGCGGAUGUAGACAAGAAUGUCUCCUUAGUGAUUGAGCAGUCGUCAUUUCCUCCAGACCGCUGAAGACGCAACGUUACGUUUGUUUUUGGAGAGAAUGCGCCCCCAAUCUACAUAAGUGAGUGAGUGACUAUAUAUAUAAUUUGGAUAAUUGGUCCCAUAAAAGUUAUAUAUGAUUCUGUUGCAUAAAAAUAAUACAAUGAUAUUUAAUAUCAAUAUAUUUUCUGUCCAAUUUUAUUGGGUUUUUUUAGUAAUGGUGUGGUCAUUUUAUUGGCUUGUGUUUUUUUAAAAUCAGUGUCAUUAAAAUUAUUGAGUUAAGUUAAAAAGUCUUACAAAAUUACUUUAUAUUAUUUAAUAAAAUAAUUAUUACAAAGCAGUUUAAAGGGGUCAUAUGGUGCUGCUAAAAAGAACAUUAUUUUGUGUAUUUGGUGUAAUGAAAGGUGUUUAUGCGGUUUAAGGUUAAAAAAACAUUAUUUUCCACAUAUUGUUUCUCCUCUAUGCCCCGCCUUCUGAAACAUGUCGAUUUUUACAAGAAUCAUCGCUUUGAAAAGCAAGGUGUGCUGUGAUUGGCCAGCUAUCCAGCGUGUUGUGAUUGGCCGAAUGCCUCAAGCGUGUGAUGGAAAUGUUACGCCUCUUAACAUAUUGUGAUGCCUUGUCCGGCCGGAGCGACGAGACAUAAACAUAAAACCCAUUAUAAACUCAGCGAUCCACAGUGCAAAGUUGAUAUAUUUCCUCAGCGAACAGCACAGAUCAGCUCCAGGCAUGACGAAGCGCAUAUUGUCCUCUUUUGGAAGGCCAAACAAAGUAGUUUUGCUUUCACAGUGAAACACACCGCGUCUAUACGACAUGGCAGCAGUGGCGACAACAACAAUACUACAACAAGAGUAAAAGGUACGCCUUCUUUCUUUGCGUGAACAUCUGGGUGGCGUUAUGCAAAUCUUUCCACAUAGUGACGUAGAGAUGUGGGGGCAUGUUAGAACGAGCCGUUUCAGGGUGGCGUGGACGAGUCUUAACUUUUAUAAAGAAUAUCUCUUUGGGUUUGAGACUUUAGUCUUUGCAACUUCACAGAUCUUUUUUAUUCACCAAGAGCUUGUAACACUCCAAAGAGAAAGGAAAAUUUUAAAUUGCAUAAUAUGACCCCUUUCAUUUUUCUGUCAGGUGCAUACAAAAUUUUAAUUUUUUUUUAUUUUUCAUUUCAGUGCAUCCCUAUAAAGUCUUAAUAUAUUAUUAUAUCUUAAUGUAUCAGCCAUUUGUGGUUAAUUAAGAAAUUCUAUUCUAUUCUUUUUCAGAUUGUCAGAAUCCUGUUCUCGUGUAGAGGCAGUUCUUUUUUCCAUUGAAACUGGUGUUAAGAUGCGAGAUACAGCCUCCUGCACAAUGGAAAAGUGCAAGUGACUGAUGCCAGCACAUGUACAAAAGGUGUAUACAUGUACUUUACAUAGUACUGUUUUGUAUCCUACUCUACUAUGGGAAAUGACAGCAUCUGUGGAUAAUAGUAAAUAACUGUUAACACUGUGAACAUUUACUGUGAAUUUUAGUGCCCACACUGCAAGCAAGACAAAGUUAACCUGCGCCUGUGUGCUGGAGACAAGGGAUUCUGUUUUAUCAAAGAUGGGGAUGAGAUAACACUGGACUGGAGCCAUGCUUACUACUACCAAGUCCAGGCACAGCUUCACAUUGUGCAAUUUUCUACUGUGGAACUCUAAUGACAUUUUUUUUUGGAAAGGAUUAUACCUGACAUGGGCUUUUGGGAUGAUGUGAUUGCCAGAGUUGAGAUUUUUUUCAGAAACUGUAUACUUCCUGAAGUGUUGGGACAGAAAGUUACAAAACAACAUAUUGACAUGUAAUAUUAUUAAAGGACACUACCUUACAUCAGCUCAGGCACUUGAUUCAGUCAUAUUUUGCAAAAGAAAAACACUGAAUAACAUGAAUGUAUCUUUGUUGGCAAGCAGAUGUUUGCUGAGGAGAUUAAAUAAAAAAAAGAUUAAAUUCUACAACAAAAAAGUAUUGGUGGUUACUUAAAAGAACUAAAACAGUGUGCACUUUGUAAAUUAUACUGAAUUUAAUAUGUCUGAAGGUAAAUUCAAAAAAAGCUACUGUGGCACAUGGCAGAGCACUGUUCUGCUAUAUAUAUUUGUCCACUGAGGCUAGAUCAAUUGUCCUUCAUCAACUAACCCAACUUAUUACAGCUAAUUUGGUAUUUAUUUGUUUGUGGGGAACUUUACAUGACACCACAGUAGCUUUUGAUUGAAUUUAGCCCUUAGGUUAUAUACAAAAUUCACUAAAAACACAGUGUACUGUUAUGCUAUCAUGUAGUCUACCAAAGUAUUAUAUAUCAUUUAUCAUUAACAUCCAAAGUUUAUUCAUUUAAUGACCAUUUCAAAUCAUGACAUUUAUAUUCAAAACUCUACAUCCAAACGCUUGCCUGAAUGGCACUGGCAUUGUGGCUUGAAGUACAUGUCACUCUGGCAACUCAAUUAAAAACUCCAAUCUCUCAUGAAGUAUGCCAAUUAACUUGUGCCAAAUUCUGGAAACAGUGGAGUAAGAGACAUUGAACAUGAAAGCCAAAUCUUUCAGAGGAAGGUUUAGUCUCAAUCUCAUCAAAAUUACAAUUAACUGUUCAAAUUUAGAAAGCACAGACAAAUAUCCACAGGUGAUAUAAGGCUCACACAGCUGAAAAAUCUGCAUUAAAACCAAAAAGUUAGGGAGUCCAGUGUAAAACUUUGUCAAGUCUUCGUUCUUCUGAAAAGACUCUUGGCUGAAUUGGAUGUCAAGUGCUUUAGUUCUAAGAUCACCCAGUGUGGUGUUGUGGUGUGUUUGAGAACAUCUUUCAUCCUCUCAAUGCCAUCCAUGGUUAGGUCUGUCUGGCAUUCUGCAUCUGCAUAAAAUAUAUAGCAGUAGGGAGAGGGAUUAGUUAUUCAAAUUACAAUCCAUAUCAAUAAUGACAUGAAUUGUUGUCUAUUUCUACUACUUAGUACAACGUUUAAACAAAGUUUAGUUAUCUGUUCCAAAUUAUCUGGAAACUCAUAGAAAAUAACCGAAACAAUCCAAGGUUUUUAUUUAGCACAGUGGCUAGAUUAACAAAUAACCAGAUGCCAGCCGAUCUAAAUAUCCCCUCACAGUUUAAUAGUAAUGACUUUAUGAAUUUCUUCACUCAUAAAAUAGAUAACAUCAGAAAUACAAUAACAAAUGUAGAUUCUACAGCAUCUAAUACUUCAGCUUCAUUCAUCGCACCCAAAGAAAAACUGCAGUGCUUUACAACUAUAGGACAGGAAGAGCUAAAUAAACUUAUCACUACAUCUAAACCAACAUGUUUUUUAGAUCCUGUACCCACUAAAUUCGUUAUCUUUAGGUUACGUCCCAAAACCAUUCAAGCUGGCGGUUAUUAAGCCUCAUUAA